rnacentral:rRNA from 1 species
UACGAAGGGGGCUAGCGUUGCUCGGCAUCACUGGGCGUACAGGGUGCGUAGGCGGGUCUUUAAGUCAGGGGUGAAAUCCUGGAGCUCAACUCCAGAACUGCCUUUGAUACUGAGGAUCUUGAGUACGGGAGAGGUGAGUGGAACUGCGAGUGUAGAGGUGAAAUUCGUAGAUAUUCGCAAGAACACCAGUGGCGAAGGCGGCUCACUGGCCCGUAACUGACGCUGAGGCACGAAAGCGUGGGGAGCAAACAGG